GGGUUGUGAGGUUAAGCGACUAAGCGUACACGGUGGAUGCCCUGGCAGUCAGAGGCGAUGAAGGACGUGCUAAUCUGCGAAAAGCGUCGGUAAGGUGAUAUGAACCGUUAUAACCGGCGAUGUCCGAAUGGGGAAACCCAGUGCAAUUCGUUGCACUAUCGUUAACUGAAUACAUAGGUUAACGAGGCGAACCGGGGGAACUGAAACAUCUAAGUACCCCGAGGAAAAGAAAUCAACCGAGAUUCCCCCAGUAGCGGCGAGCGAACGGGGAGCAGCCCAGAGUCUGAAUCAGCUUGUGUGUUAGUGGAACGGUCUGGAAAGUCCGACGGUACAGGGUGAUAGUCCCGUACACCAAAAUGCACAGGCUGUGAACUCGAAGAGUAGGGCGGGACACGUGGUAUCCUGUCUGAAUAUGGGGGGACCAUCCUCCAAGGCUAAAUACUCCUGACUGACCGAUAGUGAACCAGUACCGUGAGGGAAAGGCGAAAAGAACCCCGGCGAGGGGAGUGAAAAAGAACCUGAAACCGUGUACGUACAAGCAGUGGGAGCACCUUCGGGUGUGACUGCGUACCUUUUGUAUAAUGGGUCAGCGACUUAUAUUCUGUAGCAAGGUUAACCGUAUAGGGGAGCCGCAGGGAAACCGAGUCUUAACUGGGCGUUAAGUUGCAGGGUAUAGACCCGAAACCCGGUGAUCUAGCCAUGGGCAGGUUGAAGGUUGGGUAACACUAACUGGAGGACCGAACCGACUAAUGUUGAAAAAUUAGCGGAUGACUUGUGGCUGGGGGUGAAAGGCCAAUCAAACCGGGAGAUAGCUGGUUCUCCCCGAAAGCUAUUUAGGUAGCGCCUCGUGAACUCAUCUUCGGGGGUAGAGCACUGUUUCGGCUAGGGGGUCAUCCCGACUUACCAACCCGAUGCAAACUACGAAUACCGAAGAAUGUUAUCACGGGAGACACACGGCGGGUGCUAACGUCCGUCGUGAAGAGGGAAACAACCCAGACCGCCAGCUAAGGUCCCAAAGUCAUGGUUAAGUGGGAAACGAUGUGGGAAGGCACAGACAGCCAGGAUGUUGGCUUAGAAGCAGCCAUCAUUUAAAGAAAGCGUAAUAGCUCACUGGUCGAGUCGGCCUGCGCGGAAGAUGUAACGGGGCUAAACCAUGCACCGAAGCUGCGGCAGCGACACUAUGUGUUGUUGGGUAGGGGAGCGUUCUGUAAGCCUGCGAAGGUGACCUGUGAGGGUUGCUGGAGGUAUCAGAAGUGCGAAUGCUGACAUAAGUAACGAUAAAGCGGGUGAAAAGCCCGCUCGCCGGAAGACCAAGGGUUCCUGUCCAACGUUAAUCGGGGCAGGGUGAGUCGACCCCUAAGGCGAGGCCGAAAGGCGUAGUCGAUGGGAAACAGGUUAAUAUUCCUGUACUUGGUGUUACUGCGAAGGGGGGACGGAGAAGGCUAUGUUAGCCGGGCGACGGUUGUCCCGGUUUAAGCAUGUAGGCUGGUUAUCCAGGCAAAUCCGGAUAAUCAAGGCUGAGGUGUGAUGACGAGGUACUACGGUGCUGAAGUAACAAAUGCCCUGCUUCCAGGAAAAGCCUCUAAGCAUCAGGUAACAUCAAAUCGUACCCCAAACCGACACAGGUGGUCAGGUAGAGAAUACCAAGGCGCUUGAGAGAACUCGGGUGAAGGAACUAGGCAAAAUGGUGCCGUAACUUCGGGAGAAGGCACGCUGGUGUGUAGGUGAAGUCCCUGCGGAUGGAGCUGAGACCAGUCGAAGAUACCAGCUGGCUGCAACUGUUUAUUAAAAACACAGCACUGUGCAAACACGAAAGUGGACGUAUACGGUGUGACGCCUGCCCGGUGCCGGAAGGUUAAUUGAUGGGGUUAUCCGUAAGGAGAAGCUCUUGAUCGAAGCCCCGGUAAACGGCGGCCGUAACUAUAACGGUCCUAAGGUAGCGAAAUUCCUUGUCGGGUAAGUUCCGACCUGCACGAAUGGCGUAAUGAUGGCCAGGCUGUCUCCACCCGAGACUCAGUGAAAUUGAACUCGCUGUGAAGAUGCAGUGUACCCGCGGCAAGACGGAAAGACCCCGUGAACCUUUACUAUAGCUUGACACUGAACAUUGAGCCUUGAUGUGUAGGAUAGGUGGGAGGCUUUGAAGCGUGGACGCCAGUCUGCGUGGAGCCAACCUUGAAAUACCACCCUUUAAUGUUUGAUGUUCUAACGUUGGCCCCUGACCGGGGUUGCGGACAGUGUCUGGUGGGUAGUUUGACUGGGGCGGUCUCCUCCCAAAGCGUAACGGAGGAGCACGAAGGUUAGCUAAUCCUGGUCGGACAUCAGGAGGUUAGUGCAAUGGCAUAAGCUAGCUUGACUGCGAGCGUGACGGCGCGAGCAGGUGCGAAAGCAGGUCAUAGUGAUCCGGUGGUUCUGAAUGGAAGGGCCAUCGCUCAACGGAUAAAAGGUACUCCGGGGAUAACAGGCUGAUACCGCCCAAGAGUUCAUAUCGACGGCGGUGUUUGGCACCUCGAUGUCGGCUCAUCACAUCCUGGGGCUGAAGUAGGUCCCAAGGGUAUGGCUGUUCGCCAUUUAAAGUGGUACGCGAGCUGGGUUUAGAACGUCGUGAGACAGUUCGGUCCCUAUCUGCCGUGGGCGCUGGAGAAUUGAGGGGGGCUGCUCCUAGUACGAGAGGACCGGAGUGGACGCAUCACUGGUGUUCGGGUUGUCAUGCCAAUGGCACUGCCCGGUAGCUAAAUGCGGAAGAGAUAAGUGCUGAAAGCAUCUAAGCACGAAACUUGCCCCGAGAUGAGUUCUCCCUGAGACUUUAAGUCUCCUGAAGGAACGUUAAAGACGAUGACGUUGAUAGGCCGGGUGUGUAAGCGCAGCGAUGCGUUGAGCUAACCGGUACUAAUGAACCGUGAGGCUUAACCUUACAACGCCGAAG
rnacentral:rRNA from 1 species